UACGAAGGGGGCUAGCGUUGUUCGGAUUUACUGGGCGUAAAGCGUGCGCAGGCGGUGAUGUAAGACAGGUGUGAAAGCCCCGGGCUUAACCUGGGAAUUGCGUUGGAGACUGCAAGGCUUGAAUCUGGCAGAGGGGGGUAGAAUUCCACGUGUAGCAGUGAAAUGCGUAGAGAUGUGGAGGAACACCGAUGGCGAAGGCAGCCCCCUGGGUCAAGAUUGACGCUCAUGCACGAAAGCGUGGGGAGCAAACAGG
rnacentral:rRNA from 1 species